GCCGCUAUGGUGUAACCGGUUAACACGCCGCCCUCUCACGGCGGAGAGUACGGGUUCGAGCCCCGUUAGCGGUACCA
rnacentral:tRNA from 10 species